GAUGAAGAACGUAGCGAGAUGCGAUAAGUAAUGUGAAUUGCAGAAUUCAGUGAAUCAUCGAAUCUUUGAACGCACAUUGCGCCCGCGAGUAUUCUCGCGGGCAUGCCUGUCCGAGCGUCAUUUCAACCCUCAGGGCCCGCCUGCUUGCAGGCGCGGCGCUGGUGUUGGGGAUCGGCUACCCUGCCGUCCCCCAAAUACAGUGGCGGUCUCGCUGCAGCCUCCCCUGCGUAGUAGCAACACUCGCAUGCGGAGCGCGGCGCGGCCACGCCGUAAAACCCCCGACUUUCUGAACGUUGACCUCGGAUCAGGUAGGAAUACCCGCUGAACUUAAGCAUAUCAAUAAGCGGAGGA
rnacentral:misc_RNA from 1 species